rnacentral:rRNA from 1 species
UACGUAGGGUCCGAGCGUUGUCCGGAGUUACUGGGCGUAAAGCGCACGUAGGUGGCGACGUAAGUCGGGUGUGAAAGCCCCGGGCUCAACCUGGGAAUUGCAUUCGAGACUGCAUUGCUGGAGUACGGAAGAGGAAGGCGGAAUUCCCGGUGUAGCGGUGAAAUGCGUAGAUAUCGGGAGGAACAUCAGUGGCGAAGGCGGCCUUCUGGUCCAGUACUGACACUCAAGUGCGAAAGCGUGGGGAGCAAACAGG